rnacentral:rRNA from 1 species
AGGUAGAUAGGUUCGGGGUGGACGCAUGGCGACAUGUGCAGCUGACGAAUACUAAUCGAUCGAGGACUUAACCAAA